rnacentral:rRNA from 1 species
UACGGAGGAUCCAAGCGUUAUCCGGAAUUACUGGGCGUAAAGAGUUGCGUAGGUGGCAUAGUAAGCAGGUAGUGAAAUCGUGUGGCUCAACCAUACUCACAUUUAUCUGAACUGCUAAGCUAGAGGAUGAGAGAGGUUAUUGGAAUUCCUAAGUGUAGGAGUGAAAUCCGUAGAUAUUAGGAGGAACACCGAUGGCGUAGGCAGAUAACUGGCUCAUUCCUAG